GUUCAUUUUAUUCAGAGAAGCAUUUAACGUUGGUUUUUCUAAUUAUAACAGAUUUAAGUUAAAAAUAGACCCUGUGUUGUUAGUCAAAAAGAUGGAUAUUGUGAUAUUGUCAGCAGGAAAAUGGAAAGUUUAACUAUUGUUUGACAGUGGUUUAUAUAUUUCAUAACAGUCUAGAAAAGUACAACAGUUAAAGUGGAUGAAUCCUGAUGAUAUGGGAGGUUAAACAAGAUGAAUCCUGAUGAUAUGGGAGGUUCAACAAGAUGAAUCCUGAUGAUAUGGGAGGUUAAACAAGAUGAAUCCUGAUGAUAUGGGAGGUUCAACAAGAUGAAUCCUGAUGAUAUGGGAGGUUAAACAAGGUGAAUCCUGAAGAUAUGGGAGGUUAAACAAGAUGAAUCCUGAUGAUAUGGGAGGUUAAACAAGAUGAAUCCUGAUGAUAUGGGAGUUAAACAAGAUGAAUCCUGAUGAUAUGGGAGAUUAAACGAGAUGAAUCCUGAAGAUAUAGGGGAGAGGUUGAACGAGAUGAAUCCUGAUGAUAUGGGAGAGAGGUUAAACGAGACGAAUCCAGGUGAUAUGGGAGAGAGGUUACACGAGAUGAAUACAGGGGAUAUGGGAGAGAGGGUACACGAGAUGAAUCCUGAAGAUAUGGGAGACAGGUUAAACGAGAAUGUUGAAUUAAUGUUGAAUUAUAUCAGAUUUGACGAAAUUGUUCAAAUAGCUGCCCACCAAAGACGUCGUAUAUCAGAUAUACAGGCAACAUUGUCACCCCAGGAAAGGAAUGAAACUAUAAUUACAGCUGCUAUAUGUAGUUGUUAUAAACUUGUUACACAUCUGAUAGAUCAUUGUGUUGAUAUACCGUUAGAGUAUAAAGAUGGUGAACAUAACAAUCUAUUACACUUAGUUUUAGAUAGUUACCGAUCAUACCUCGAUCAAGAUGAAAGGGAUGACUUGUUACAGUGUGUAAUUAAAUUGGUUCAAGCUGGUGUAGAUGUAAACCAUAUGAAUGAAGACCAACAAA